AUCUCUUCUUGGCCUUUGGCUAAGAUCAAGUAUAAUAUCUGUUCUUAUCAAUCUAAUGUACAUUGUACCCGUUAAGUAAUUCCUCAUUGUCCACCCUGC
rnacentral:snRNA from 1 species